AUGCUGCCCCUCAGUUUGGUGCUGGGACCAGCCCUGGCCUGUGCCUCUCCUUGCUCCAGGCUUGGUCUCUCCUGGACUCCCCAGAGCUGUGGCUUGUGUCUGAAGUGCUUUGUCAGUGGAGAAAACUUCUCCGUUUCUCAUCAGAGUACAUCAAAUACAGCACUCCUGCUAGAAGCAACCUUCCAAAGCAAUAUGAAAUCCGGCUUAUUUGAGAGAAAGAAAAAGUAGAAAUCCUCACAUAUGCUAAACCUGUGAAGUGGGAGUGAGAGUUGUGUGAGGAGGGGCAGCGACCUGAUGGUGAUUCCAGCACUGCCACCUGCGGGGCAGGCUGGCAGCAGGACUUCUCACGGGGUGUGGAUGUGGGCUCACCGCAUUGCAGACCAGGGCCAGAGUGGAGGAAAAGACAUGAGCAUGACUUCUGUGCUAAAUGAGUUUGAGAUCUGGAAAUGCUAUAAUUGUUAUUGUAAAAGUUUCUGCUUAUGUGCCACCAUCACAGUAGGUGAAUACACAUCUGCCUAAGCCUUUAAAACAGCUAAUCCAAGCCUUGUCUGCUCUCUUCUCUUUCCUUCUUCAUUAAGCUGCUCGGUCACCUCACCCCGUAUUCUUUCUUGCACUGGAAACUUUCAGGUGCAAAAAGAAAUAAAACCAUAAUCACGACAAGGUUGAGAAAAAAC
rnacentral:lncRNA from 1 species